rnacentral:misc_RNA from 1 species
GAAUGAAGAACGCAGCGAAAUGCGAUAAGUAAUGUGAAUUGCAGAAUUCAGUGAAUCAUCGAAUCUUUGAACGCACAUUGCGCCCGCCAGUAUUCUGGCGGGCAUGCCUGUUCGAGCGUCAUUUCAACCAUCAAGCCCCCGGCUUGUGUUGGGGACCUGCGGCUGCCGCAGGCCCUGAAAAGCAGUGGCGGGCUCGCUGUCACACCGAGCGUAGUAGCAUACAUCUCGCUCUGGGCGUGCUGCGGGUUCCGGCCGUUAAACCACCUUCAUAACCCAAGGUUGACCUCGGAUCAGGUAGGAAGACCCGCUGAACUUAAGCAUAUCAAUAAGCGGAGGA